UCCAGGGGGGCCAGGGAAACCCAGUUUGGGAACUGGCCGGGGCGAGUGAGAAAGAAAGAGAGCCGGGGCGUGCUGAACACGUUUCACAUCACCUCAGAGCUGUGGAAUUUCCUCUCUUCUGGGGGGAGGCCUGUGAAGAUGCAGUUGGUUUAAGGUUUAUGACAUUUGGGAAUAGGAACUACUAUUUGAACUGGCCCUUCCGGAUUUCUUAGUGGCUUCCUAAGAACAGCGACCCUGUCAGUUACAUAUGCUUAUCCCCAUUGGAUGAGGAAACGGAGACUCGGGGAUUAAGUAACUUGUCCAGUUACUGCUGUGUGUGUUGGUUCCAAGCUGACGUUUAUUGAGCACUUACAACAUGCCAGGCCCCAGACCAGAGCUCCACGUUGAAUUCUCAGGAAGACGCUAUGAGCCAAGUAUUCUUAUUUUCCAGGUCAGGAAGCAGGCUCAGAGAGGUUAAAUAAGUUGCAAAUAUACCACUCCUGGGAGGCCGCGGAAGCAGCCUGCCAUCCUAAGCAGUGGGACUCCUCCUCUUUGCUCUUUGAACCCUGCAUUUAGUCAUUAAAAUACCAAAAGCGGUUCUGUGCGAUCUGGUUUUACUCUUGAAGCCAUCCCAGGGAAGGACCCUCGGGACAGCACUGUUUCAAGGAAGGGUCCGAGGUGUGCCCUGACUGCAGAAGAGAGCGGUGGCAGGCGAGGGCCGGGAGGGUGAACUGGUUCAUGUCUGCAAAGGGCAGGAGCAGCUAAGCCUCGGGAGGACUGCCUCUGUGCGCGCCCUGGAAAUGCAAACAGCUCUCGGCUUGGCUUCCCCCGCUGGCCCAGCCUGAGAGGCUGGCGGGAAGCCUGCUGGAAGGGAAGCCCCAUCUGAGGGAGCAGCCACAGGACCCUGGAGCAGUGGCUUCCCCCUCUCUGACCUUUAGCUCGAGCUGAUGAAUUGGCAGCAACUGUGUGACAUCAGGGAGGCAUUUUCUUUUUUUGUGAGCUCAGAGCUUCCACGUAAAAAUCCCUCAGUCACAAGACGGAGGCUGCAGAAGCCCAGGCACACUUGUGGCCGCAACAGGUGAUGGGCACCUGCUCCAAGCCCUCCAGAAGUCUGCGUAAUCCCAGGGAUUCCGGGCAGCCUUGGGGACGGCCAUGUAAGGGUGAUCGCUGGCCUUAUUUAUCCCCGCUGCGCCGCCAGCUCUUAGCCCUGCAGGGGCAGGAUCUCAGGGGCUGGGCGCACUGGGCGGGCGCCCAGGGGCCAUCAGCCUCCAGCACUUUCUUCUAUCUGACCGCUCUCUUCUUGUCCUCACCCUCGGUGAAAACUAGCACUCGGUUAAAAUUAAGGGAGCUCAAAAGGUAUCCAAACAUGUCUUUGCUUGACUUUGUGUGUGAGCUGGGUGUGUGUUUGGGGGAGGGGGGCGCUCAGGGAGUGAGGAAUCUAAUGCCUAAACUUGAGAGUGGUAGAAAGAACCAUGAUUUUAAUACAGCAAAAGUCACUUGGAGGGAACUUAGAUCUCUAAAUACUCCAGACCCCUCAUUUUACAGAGCCUACGUUUACUGCAGGCUCAGAAAGGGACCUGCCCAAAGACCUCACAGCACAUGGGUGGCAUAGGUAGGACCAGAAUGAUGACCUUGGGCCUUGGUUCCCUCACUGAUAGAAUGGUGUGGUGGGAUUUAAUGAUGUCCAAGAUUUCCUUCAAGAUCUUAAAAUGUAAGGGGCGCCUGGGGGGCUCAGCCAAUUAAGCGUCCGACUUGAUUUCGGCUUAGGUCAUGACCUCGUGGUUCAUGAGAUUGAGCCCCGCAUCGGGCUCUGCACUGACAGCGUGGAGCCCACUUGGGAUUGUCUCUCUCCCUCUCUCUCUGCCCCUCCCCCACUCUCUCGCGCCCGCACAUACACACUCUCUUUCUCUCAAAAUAAAUAAAGAAACAUUAAAAAAAAAAAAAAAAGAACUUAAGAUGUAAAAUCAUAACUGAGCGGCUCUCUGAGGCUCCCUGAGGGAUCCUAGUGAAUCUAGCAGAGCAGGGCCCAGGACAAGACAGGAUACAUGGCUAGGUAGAUGGGGGCCAUUAGAUGACCAGGUAACUUCCAGACUUUGGGAUAGAUGAUUGCAUUACCUUUGAUACCCACCUGUUCACUUCAGUCCCUUCCCCCGCCCUUGUCCUGGACACUAACAUUUACCCUAGAGCAGCCAUUUCCCCUUUCCCUUCUCUUCCCACCCACACGUGUACAUGUUCCCUAAUUUCUGCUUGUUUACUGGACCUCUGUCACUCCAGCUUAUAUGCCUAGCUUUCCACUACCUUUUAAAUUUUUUUUUUUUAAGUUUAUUUAUUUUUGAGACAGAGAGACAGCAUGAGCAGGGUAGGGGCAGAGAGAGAGAGAGGGAGACACAGAAUCCGAAGCGGGCCCCAGGCUCCGUGCUGUCAGCACAGAGCCUGACUCGGGGCUCGAACUCACGAGCCAUGAGAUCAUGACCUGAGCUGAAGUCGGACACUCAACCGGCUGAGCCACCCAGGCGCCCCUCCACUACCUUUUAUUAAGGAGUCACUCACUGCGUGAUCUAUCACUCACUGUCACAUUUAAUCCUCCUACCUUUGUCCUCUGAUUUAGGUGAUCAUCCCUGUUGGGUAGAUGAAGAAAGCCAAGGCUCAGAAAUGUCCAUACCUGCAUAUUCCCAUAGUUUAUAAGGGGUAAAUUCCUACAGUGACUGAAAUCUAACUGGAGACCAGGCUUCAUUUCUUAUAUCACCUUAGUAUCACCGCCCUGCAUUACGUCUCCAGCAGGCCUGAAGCUGUGGCUGUCGCCCAUUAAGUUCACUUGGACGUAAGAGGUGCCAAAGAGAUGGAGAUCACUGGCUUUAUCCCUGUGAGGACCCAAGAUCUUUGUCCUACUCCAAGACCACAGACUCUACGUACCCUCGAAUUUGAUGAAAACUCGGAAUUAAGGAGAAAAACCAGGAUCGUCUGUGUCUUUCAUGACCACUGGACAAAAGUAGAAAGUAAUCAGUUACCGUUUUGUUCCUCUGAGCUUCCUAGGAGCUAAAGAGAAUGCAAGCCCACCAAAUUGUCAGUGUCGGUAAAGUGCGUUACGCAGAUCGACUUGCACACAUUUCCUAAAGCAGCCGUUUGGGCACUAUCCUGUAACUGAAUUCUGUAGUUUGGGGAGUAAACUAUCUUUUGGCCACCCUGAGUCAUGCUCCCUGUGGCAUCUCCAGCUGGUCAGCAGGUCACACAAGGUACUUACUGAACACCCAUAUGGGCGAGUUAGAUCUGGGAUUGUGUUGGACACUGAGAAUUCCAAAGCUAAUAAUGGGGUUAGAAGUUAAUAUUCUAACUCUGGAGACCAACGUAGAAGCAAGCCAUUCUACAAUGUGAGACAUGCCAUCAGAGAGCUAUGGUCCCUUAAUGGAAGGAAGAAUUCGUUCUGCUGGGCUGGAUUGGCCUUGGCCUUUACCUCCCCACAGUGUUCCAGCAAGUGAUCGUGUGUGUGAAUUGAACCAAGCCUGAAGUUCCCGUUUACUGUUUUUUUUUUUUCCAUGAGAAAAUUAACCCCGCAGAAGAACUGAAACAUACCGAGAAGACUUUAUCGAACACACUGUUGCUGCCCAAGGCAUUUGCCCUGAGAUCAUGCUCACAAAGAUGGGAAUAUUACUGGAAAGUGGCCCUUUAAAUAUGUGUGUGGUGGGGGUGUCAUGGGGGGGAGUGUGUGUGUUACAAAUUGAAAGUUAAGUAGGCUCCGAUUUUGGAGAGCUUUAGAUGCCGUCUGGAGCUUAAACUUGACUUUAGGUGAUACUCAAGAAAAAGAGAAGGGAGAGUGUCUUCUGCCGGGACUCUAGGCUAGCACAUACCUUUUCACGUUGCGCCUUGGUGAGCAGCGAAAGUUUUUGAGGGCACAGAUCCACGCAGUUGAAGAGGAGUCUGUUGGAUGCAGGAUUGGUCGGAAGGGAAAGGGCUUGAGAAGUUUCCGGUUUACAAGUCAUGAACAAGUCUAGGGGUGCAGGGUGGGGCGUUAGGGCCUGAAUUCCGGUGACGCUUGAUGAUCGUGGAAAGGGGAUGUUGUAAAAGGACGCUAACACAUGGUAAAUAUAUUUUUAUAUACAAA